UGAUUAACAUUCAAUUCCAGAAGAAAGUGAAAUUGCAGUUAGUGGUUCUGUAUGUUGACUUUAAGCUUGAUGAGAGCUACACGCCUAGUAAAAUCUCUAUUCGAGCUGGUGAUGGUUUUCAUAACUUAAAGGAGAUUAAAAGUGUGGAGCUUGUUAAACCAACUGGUUG